rnacentral:rRNA from 1 species
GGUUACUGCUAUCGGUGUUCGCCUAAGCCAUGCGAGUCAUAUGUUCUUCGGAACAUGGCGUACUGCUCAGUAACACGUGGAUAACCUGCCCUUGGGUCCGGCAUAACCCCGGGAAACUGGGGAUAAUUCCGGAUAACGCACAUAUGCUGGAAUGCUUUAUGCGUCAAAUGGAUUCGUCCGCCCAAGGAUGGGUCUGCGGCCUAUCAGGUAGUAGUGGGUGUAAUGUACCUACUAGCCUACGACGGGUACGGGUUGUGAGAGCAAGAGCCCGGAGAUGGAUUCUGAGACAUGAAUCCAGGCCCUACGGGGCGCAGCAGGCGCGAAAACUUUACAAUGCGGGAAACCGUGAUAAGGGGACACCGAGUGCCAGCAUCAUAUGCUGGCUGUCCGGGUGUGUAAAAUACACCUGUUAGCAAGGGCCGGGCAAGACCGGUGCCAGCCGCCGCGGUAACACCGGCGGCCCGAGUGGUGAUCGUGAUUAUUGGGUCUAAAGGGUCCGUAGCCGGUUUGGUCAGUCCUCCGGGAAAUCUGACGGCUUAACCGUUAGGCUUUCGGGGGAUACUGCCAGACUUGGAACCGGGAGAGGUAAGAGGUACUACAGGGGUAGGAGUGAAAUCUUGUAAUCACUGUGGGACCACCUGUGGCGAAGGCGUCUUACCAGAACGGGUUCGACGGUGAGGGACGAAAGCUGGGGGCACGAACCGGAUUAGAUACCCGGGUAGUCCCAGCCGUAAACGAUGCUCGCUAGGUGUCAGGCAUGGCGCGACCGUGUCUGGUGCCGCAGGGAAGCCGUGAAGCGAGCCACCUGGGAAGUACGGCCGCAAGGCUGAAACUUAA